CUUCCUUCUGAUGGCUUGCCUUAAACUGAAAUUUUCAAUUUCAUGAGAAAAACUGUCAGCAGCAGUAACCUUCAGCAGCAGGAUGAGGAGCAGCUCCCAGGGGCGCAGCAGGACCAUGGGGGACCUCAGAAGAUGCUGCUGUGGGAGGUGGGAGCAUCCAGGUGCAGCAGAGCCAGGUCUGUGGAGCGUUGUGAGAUGGCUCCCUGCAGUCCAGGGCUUUGUCGCCAGCAUUUCCACCCGGGUCCAGCCCUGUGGGCAGCCCCAGAGGACAAAGUGUAUUUCCAGCCCCUCAGACAGAGUGAAAAAACCUGAACUGUUGUUUCUAUCAAACUCAGCUGUCUCCAAGCAAAGCUCAGUCCUCCUGUGGUGUUAGGUUGCUUCACUCAGUCCGUACCUGCCACUUCCACACACAAUAAAUGGGCCACGACUGCAAUUUUAUUGCUAUUUUACAACCGUAAACACGUGUCUUGAUUCAAGAGUUCCUUGGAAAUGCCAUUCCCUAAAAGAGUAAACACUUUAAAAACUUUACUUUCAAUGGGAGCUGGGUUUAUCUGGGUUUAUGCCCAGGAAAGCUGCUUCUCUCUGAUUUCAGACUUUGAAACAAGAGACAGUUCUGUCAAAGCCUAUUUGAAAGCUGGUGUGUCCUGCUCCACCCAAAGGCCACCAAGCAAGGAUGAACUUGUAUAUCUGGAGUUUAACUUCCCACACAGGGUGAGAAAAAUACAUUAAACACAAAACUACAACAAGGAAGCAGGAAAUUAAAAAUUAAGAAACAGAGAGUGGCAGAGAGCAGGGGGAAGGUUCUGGCUUCUGUGAAAACACCUCUCACAGCAUUUUCCAUUCUCCGGCUUUACUCUUACUGGGCACAAGGUUUAUUCUCAUUUCAAUAAUUUGGUAUUUUGGAAGCUGUGAAAGGAAGAAUUAUGGAAGAACUCAUCUCCUGUUCAGGUGAGAAGAAAAGCAAUAGAUUGUGUCAAGUAGGCCACACUCAGGUAGGCAGGAAGGCAGGAGGGAUCUUGCAGCACUCACAAAUAACAGCAAUAGUAAAUAGCAGGGCAGGACACAAAGGCUUGGACAGCAGGAAAAACUCAAAUAGCAGGAAUGUUCUGAAUGUAAAAGUGUUGUGUGAUACUUCACAAUGCAAAUUUGUAAAGCUUACUAUAAAUAUUACAAAAAUAGCAAAAAAACCCCAUUUUUCAGCAUGAGAACAUAAAAAUCUCACUGUCCUCCCUUUAUUUGCCUCUGGAUCAGCCUCAGCUGAAUGCACGGACAAAUUUUGUGUGAAAUAAAUUUAUACUCAUUGCCCACUGCAGAAAAAAAUCCAGUCCUGGUUUUGCUCCAUUCCGUACUAAAAAAAAAACAAAAAAAACCCAAAAAAACCCUCCAAUUUUCGCUCCAACCGCGUGACUCCAUUCCGUACUCCGGCCUAAAUCCAGUCCGGAUUUUCGCUCCAACCGGGUGACUCCAUUCCGUACUCCGGCCAAAAUCCGGUCCGGGUUUUCCCGCAUGCUGUAUCCCGGAUGGAAUUGCCCGAAAAUGAAGGAAAAUUCCGGGUUUUAUGGAAAAUUCCGGGUUUUUAUGGCUUCCCUUGGCCAGCAGCAGCCGGGAUGUGCUGAACCACCCCCUGCACCCGACACUGCAACAGCAGAAUUUUCUCCAUGAAAAUCCAGUGGUGCCAUCUCGAGAAGAAAAUACAACUCAGCAACAAGCAGGGCAGUAUCUCACUUUUAUUGUAGCAAAUAUACGGUACUUUUGAAUGACAAGAUCACUUUCCCAUGGAAUUACUAGGAAAAAUAUCCACAAAAAGUUCAAAUAAAUAAGAAUACAUGAAUACCAACAUCAAAAGCUGGUCUGCAAAUCCUCAGUUAAUCAAGUUCAGUCCCUACAGCACGUUUUUCAGUUUAUUUUUCAGAUGAAAAACCACUAAUGCAAUGGGAGCGACGAAGGCUCAAUACCUUUAAAAUAAGGCAAAAAAUAGUACAUUCUAGGUAAUUUCAUACUGUAGAAAUUUAAAGUAUCAGCUCCAAAAAAGAACAUACCAGCUGAAAAAACUGUCAAAAUUCUCUCUGAAUUCUAACAAGAUCCUUUAAAUAGCAAUUACAAAAGUUACCUCAAAUAACAAUGAGUGAAACACAGAACAAACAGUGACAGGAUGAGGGCAGAGCUCAGAGUCUGGAGUCAAACAGGGCAGUUUAGCCUGAUGGAAUCAGCACAAGCCUCCCUGCAGCAUUAUCCUGCUGCAUCCACCUGAGAACAGCAUGGGGAAACAUCAUUGCCCUCAGCAUGAGAUGCAAGAAAUGCAGAAAAAAGGAGCAUGGCAAGAGAAAAACAGUAUUGCUUUAAAUUUCUUCACGUGAUGCACAAAAAAUACAUUAGCAUUACUAAGGAAAAUAGUUUAUACAUAUUGGAGUGAAAUUCUGUUUCUUCACAUCUUCUAACAGGGUCAUUUCACUGAGCUGUUCAAAG